ACCCUCAAUAAAAGUAUCCUUGAAUCUAUUAAUUUUUAUAGCUAAAAGCUAUUAGUGUUUGAACAUAUUAGAAAAGGUAAUAUCUGAAUUAAUGUCCAAGUAAUGUGAUAUAUUAGAAAUUUGAGACUACUUCUGGAUUUAGAUAACUGAAUGUGGAAAUUUCGUCGUCAUGCAUCUUUACAACAUGACAGACAGUACUCUCUUCAAAACUGCAGUCACAACCAAUGCUCCUCUCUGAUUCAGCUGGUCAUCUUCUCACCACAACAGACAAAUAUAAAUCUUGCAUAUCCAAGUUUAAUUAGUCAAAACAGACUUGUUGAUAUUGAAAUUUGAUGCAGAAACUUAUGAUAACAAAUUUUGACCAGUUCAAUCCUUUUUAUGCAGUAAAAUGAGUAACUUAACCAACCAAAUUUUAGUGCACAGAUUCAAAUGACCUUUGGACACUGAAAUGUAUCCAUAUACAGCAUUUAAAACUUAUUGAACACACUGGAAUUAAAUCAAGGAUGUUCAGUAAUGAUCUAGAUACUGAAACAGAAUUAAAAAUAAAACAAUGGACUAAGCAAAGCAAUGCAGUUCGGCCAACUGCAUAUUUGGAUGCAAUGUGAGCUUUCCAAUGAUGCUAUCAAGCCUUUUGUAGAAACAAUUCAGUGCUUAUAUGGUGUACAUCAAGUACUAGCUCAAUUUGAAUCAUUCAAACACAGAUCCAAUUCACCAAUUUAAUUGCUAAUGACACACAAAAUUCAUACUACUGCACAGAUUUCUGAAACUGAAAGUGGUGUCACAACUCAUGCACUUGAGCUCUCAUUGAGUUUGUCAUAGCUCAUUUAAUGUGCAGACAGUACUAUAGUUAAAAGAUUAAAAGCAGUAGGAAAACAACAUCUCGAUUAUAGUACUAGUUAAGAUUAAAUACCUAAAUAUAAAUUUAGCUUGUUUGUUUGGUACCAACGCAUAUUAAAAGCAUACUGCAAAGUUACCAAACAAGAACAAUAAAACAUAUAUUAGUUUUUGAUGUUUCAUUUCAAGGUAUUAAUAGUAAACUACAUCAGAAGUUAGCUUUUCUCUCCAGUAGCAAAUAAACAAUUGUUAUUUGAAAAAGGCAAAUUAAUUGUCAAAAUUUGAAAAGUAAGCUUUGGUACAGGUUCCCACCCACUUAAGCCAAUGCGUGUGCUUAGUUUGCUGUUAGAAGUUUCAAAUUAUGUUUUCAACAUAAAAGAAUAAUUUACAACCAUAUUUGAGAGGUGAGAAUCUUCAAAGAAGGCCAUGACAAGUAAUUAGGGAAUAUUGGCCAACAACUAUACAAAAGGAAUUGAGAGUGAAAACGUGAAAGGAUUAUAAAUGAGAUAAAUUACAGCUUCACAUAAUGUGCAGAAAAGAAAAUGAAGCAUUUGGUAUGCCAAACUUCCACGGGUUGAUCUCUUUUCCACUAACUAAAGCAUCAAAAUGUCAUUUACUGCAAAGAAGGUUAUACAAAUUUAUACAGAGUGAAGAGACGUACCUGCGAGAGACCCCUGAAAGAAACCCCAAUCCCGUAGCAAUGUGCGACUUGCACUCUUCCCUCACAGUCUCGUCUCUAUCCUCUAAGCGGCCGAGAUCGAUGAUCAGAAGCUCACAAUCCUCGACGGCCACCAGAGAUGACGUGGAGGCGUACCAAUGGCGUGGAUGCUCCGACUAGAGUGCGCGGCGUGGAGCGCGGUGUGUUCUAUGCUAUGGAAUGAGACCGAAAAGUGCUCUGCGCGACGAGAG
rnacentral:lncRNA from 1 species